rnacentral:rRNA from 1 species
AGAGAACGCUGGCGGCGUGCUUAACACAUGCAAGUCGAACGAUAAACGGAUUUAGCUUGCUAAAUUGCAGUCUAAGUGGCGCACGGGUGAGUAAUGUAUAGGUAACAUGCCUUCUACUAGGGGAUAACAGUUGGAAACGACUGCUAAUACCCUAUAUUCCUUAUUAGCACAAGUGUGUAAGGGAAAGAUUCAUUGGUAGAAGAUUGGCCUAUAUUGUAUCAGCUAGUUGGUAGUGUAAUGGACUACCAAGGCUAUGACGCAUAACUGGUUUGAGAGGAUGAUCAGUCACACUGGAACUGAGACACGGUCCAGACUCCUUUUGUUUUGCAGCAGUGGGGAAUAUUGCACAAUGGGCGAAAGCCUGAUGCAGCAACGCCGCGUGGAGGAUGACACAUUUCGGUGCGUAAACUCCUUUUAUAUGGGAAGAUAAUGACGGUACCAUAUGAAUAAGCACCGGCUAACUCCGU